GAUGAACGCUGGCGGCGUGCCUAAUACAUGCAAGUCGAGCGAACGGACGAGAAGCUUGCUUCUCUGAUGUUAGCGGCGGACGGGUGAGUAACACGUGGAUAACCUACCUAUAAGACUGGGAUAACUUCGGGAAACCGUAGCUAAUACCGGAUAAUAUUUUGAACCGCAUGGUUCAAAAGUGAAAGACGGUCUUGCUGUCACUUAUAGAUGGAUCCGCGCUGCAUUAGCUAGUAGGUAAGGUAACGGCUUACCAAGGCAACGAUGCAUAGCCGACCUGAGAGGGUGAUCGGCCACACUGGAACUGAGACACGGUCCAGACUCCUACGGGAGGCAGCAGUAGGGAAUCUUCCGCAAUGGGCGAAAGCCUGACGGAGCAACGCCGCGUGAGUGAUGAAGGUCUUCGGAUCGUAAAACUCUGUUAUUAGGGAAGAACAUAUGUGUAAGUAACUGUGCACAUCUUGACGGUACCUAAUCAGAAAGCCACGGCUAACUACGUG
rnacentral:rRNA from 1 species